rnacentral:rRNA from 1 species
UACGAAGGGGGCUAGCGUUACUCGGAUUGACUGGGCGUAAAGGGCGCGUAGGCGGCUUGUACAGUCAGACGUGAAAUUCCUGGGCUCAACCUGGGGGCUGCGUUUGAUACGUGCGGGCUUGAGUUCGGAAGAGGGUCGUGGAAUUCCCAGUGUAGAGGUGAAAUUCGUAGAUAUUGGGAAGAACACCGGUGGCGAAGGCGGCGACCUGGUCCGAUACUGACGCUGAGGCGCGAAAGCGUGGGGAGCAAAC